rnacentral:rRNA from 1 species
UUUUCCGUGCAAAUUCCUCUUUAAACCUUUGUUCCUGUCUGUGCAAGCCCCAUCUGAUCUCGGAGCUAAGCAGGGUCGGGCCUGGUUAGUGCUUGGAUGGGAGACCAUCUAGGAAGACCAGGUGCUGUAAAAA